rnacentral:rRNA from 1 species
UACGUAGGGGGCGAGCGUUGUCCGGAUUUAUUGGGCGUAAAGAGCUCGUAGGUGGUUUGGUAAGUCGGAUGUGAAAUCUCCAGGCUCAACCUGGAGGGGUCAUUCGAUACUGCCAUGACUAGAGUUCGGUAGGGGAGUGUGGAAUUCCUGGUGGAGCGGUGAAAUGCGCAGAUAUCAGGAGGAACACCCGUAGCGAAGGCGGCUCACUGGCCCGGUACUGACGCUGAGGCACGAAAGCGUGGGGAGCAAACAGG